rnacentral:rRNA from 1 species
GCGAACGUCUGGCCAGGGGCGGAGGUAGUACGAAGGUGGCGAGAGUUAGUCGGGAGUGACGGGCGGAAAGGGGGCGUCGGCGGUUAUUUAAGUCUGCCGUGAAAUCCCCGGGCUCAAGCUGGGAAUGGCGGUGGAUACUGGAUAGCUAGAGUGGGACAGAGGAUGGUGGAAUUCCCGGUGUAGCGGUGAAAUGCGUAGAGAUCGGGAGGAACAUCAGUGGCGAAGGCGGCCAUCUGGGACAACACUGACGCUGAAGCACGAAAGCGUGGGGAGCAAACAGGAUUAGAUACCCCUGUAGUC